rnacentral:rRNA from 2 species
GGGUUGUGAGGUUAAGCGACUAAGCGUACACGGUGGAUGCCCUGGCAGUCAGAGGCGAUGAAGGACGUGCUAAUCUGCGAUAAGCGCCGGUAAGGUGAUAUGAACCGUUAUAACCGGCGAUUUCCGAAUGGGGAAACCCAGUGUG